AUGCAGGCCCCUUUGCUCUCCUGCUCCUUGCUGGUCAGCCUGGCAAACCUGUGUGUCCUUUUUCUAAGGUGGCCUCUUCAUGCCUUUUUGGGCCAGCACCACUGCCUUUGUGCCCUCCUGUCAGCCACCAAAGGGUUUGGUGCGACAAGUUGUGCUACAGAGGCAGAAGGAAGCAGAGUUGUUCCAAGGCAGCUGCUGAUUGACCAGCAGGAUCUCCUGGAAAUCAUCUCCUCCAGCACACAUCCCCAUCCUGCCUGGUGGAUCAGGAACAAAGCGUACUUGAGAGGAGGUGACAAGGAUACCAACAUCAGCACUGUGAACUUCACAUUCAACAAAAAUGUCAAGAUCAUCCACAGAGUUCUUGGGCUUUUUGGCUUGACGGGUUUCAAAGUGAUAGAUUUGAGUUUCAAACAUCUGCAAGAGCCAAGUGUUCAUAUGAUGAAGCUUCUCCAAAGACUGAAAAUCCAGAGAAAAUUCACUGGCUCCUAACAUCGCCACGGUCUGAGUGCUUGAAAUGCCGGCCACCACAACUGCUAGCAAGAAACAACUGAUUUGUAUCUGCUAUAAGCAGCCCUUCCAUGAAAUGGUGAUUCUUCUAAAAGACUGUGCCCAGGUUCUCCCCGCUCCAGAGCCCUCUCCCUCUCCUCCAUGAGACCAGCUCACCUCUGAGCAGCUGGAGCCAAACCAGGAUGGGGGAAAGGCAGCAUGAGGGGUAAGGCAGG